rnacentral:misc_RNA from 1 species
UCAAACUUGGUCAUUUAGAGGAAGUAAAAGUCGUAACAAGGUCUCCGUUGGUGAACCAGCGGAGGGAUCAUUAUAGAGCCUAAAAACUCUCAAACCCACUGUUAAUUAUACCUUUUUUUGUUGCUUUGGCGGGCAGUCCCAGGGCGGGGCCUUGCCUGUAUUUUUGCAGGUGUCCGCCAAAAGCACCCCUAAAAUUCUUUUUUACGGCUGUCUGAGUUUUUAAAAAAAAGUCAAAACUUUCAACAAUGGAUCUCUUGGUUCUGGCAUCGAUGAAGAACGCAGC